rnacentral:rRNA from 1 species
UGGGGAAUAUUGGACAAUGGGCGCAAGCCUGAUCCAGCAAUGCCGCGUGUGUGAAGAAGGCCUUCGGGUUGUAAAGCACUUUUAUCAGGAGCGAAACGCUGUCGGCUAAUACCCGGCGGAACUGACGGUACCUGAGGAAUAAGCACCGGCUAACUUCGUGCCAGCAGCCGCGGUAAUACGAAGGGUGCAAGCGUUAAUCGGAAUUACUGGGCGUAAAGCGUGCGUAGGCGGUUUCUUAAGUCUGCUGUGAAAUCCCCGGGCUCAACCUGGGAAUGGCAGUGGAUACUGGGAGGCUAGAGUGUGUCAGAGGGUGGUGGAAUUCCCGGUGUAGCGGUGAAAUGCGUAGAGAUCGGGAGGAACAUCAGUGGCGAAGGCGGCCACCUGGGACAACACUGACGCUGAGGCACGAAAGCGUGGGGAGCAAACAGGAUUAGAUACCCUGGUAGUCCACGCCCUAAACGAUGCGAACUGGAUGUUGGUCUCAACUCGGAGAUCAGUGUCGAAGCUAACGCGUUAAGUUCGCCGCCUGGGGAGUACGUCGCAAGACUGAAACUCAAAUGAAUUGACGGGGUCAUAGCUGUUUCUG